UAAAAAUCUUACAAAAUGUAAUAAUAUGACAUUAAAAUUUUAAAUCAAAGAUAUUGAUCUUGUUUUAUAUAGUAUAAAGAAUUUUCUAUCAAAAUUUCACGUGAUUUGGAUAUUUUUACACCGUUAAACUUGCAAACAGCUCACUACGACCAUUGAAAUUUGUUGAUUUUGAGCCCAUUCGAUCACUAGGCAAAUGAUAUCGAAAAAUAAUAAAAUUUAUUUUCUAGGUACUCCAAAUACUCUAGAUCAAGUUUAACGGAGCUGAUCGACGAUUCGAAAAUCGCAACAUCAAAAACAAGCUGGAAGCACGGAAGGCUCCGUGCUUCCGAUAGCAUAGUAGCCUCACUCUAUAUAUAUAUAUAUAUAUAUAUAUCAAAAGCAUCAAAGUUAUUGAUCUUGUUUUAUAUGGUAUAAAGAAUUUUCUAUCAAAAUUUCAUGCGAUUUGAAUAUUUCUACACCAUUAAACUUGCAACCGGCUCACCACGGCCAUUAAAAUUAUUGAUUUUGAGCCCCUUCGAUCACUAGGCAAAUGAUACCGAAAAAUCACAAAAUUUAUUUUCUAGGUACUUCAAAUACUCUAGAUCAACUCUAACGGAGUCGAUCGUCGAUUCGAAAGUCCGAACAUCGAAAACAAAGUAGAAGCACGGAAGGCCAUAAGCAUACCAGCCUACUAUAUAUAUAUAUAUAUAUAUAUAUAUAUAUAUAUAUAAGAGUAGGGUUACUGUGCUAUCGGAAGCACGGAGGCUUCUGUGCUUUCAGCUCGUUUUCGACGUUGCGACUUUCGAAUCGUCGAUCGGCUCCGUUAAACUUGAUCUAGAGUAUUUGAAGUACAUAGAAAAUAAAUUUUAUGAUUUUACGAUAUCAUUUGCCUAGUGAACGAAGGGGCUCAAAAUCAACGGCUGAAAAUAAAAAUCUUACAAAAUGUAAUAAUAUGACAUUAAAUUUUAAAUCAAAGAUAUUGAUCUUGUUUUAUAUAGUAUAAAAAAUUUUCUAUCAAAAUUUCACGUGAUUUGGAUAUUCCUACACCGUUAAACUUGCAAACGGCUCACUACGGUCAUUGAAAUUUGUUGAUUUUGAGCUUAUUCGAUCACUAGGCAAAUGAUAUCGAAAAAUAAUAAAAUUUAUUUUCUAGGUACUCCAAAUACUCUAGAUCAAGUUUAACGGAGCCGAUCGACGAUUCGAAAGUCGCAACAUCGAAAACAAGCUGGAAGCACGGAAGGCUCCAUGCUUCCGAUAGCAUAAUAGCCUCACUAUAUAUAU
rnacentral:lncRNA from 1 species